rnacentral:misc_RNA from 1 species
CUAAAGUCAGCCAUUUUUCUUUUCACCGAGUUGACGAGGUUUCGCAGAGAUAAUCGCGUGAAUUAGUUGUACUUGAAAUUUCGUAUUUACAGUUCAAAAUCAACUUAAAGCCUUCCAUUUAGUGUUGUGGAUUUUACAAUCUAGUUUUAUAUCGUCCUAAGUGCAUAAAAAAUGGGUAGAAAGAAGAAGAAGGCCUCAAAACCAUGGUGCUGGUAUUGCAACCGCGAGUUCGAUGACGAGAAGAUUUUAGUGCAGCAUCAAAAGGCGAAGCAUUUCAAAUGUCACAUUUGCCACAAGAAACUGUACACGGGCCCGGGGCUGUCGAUCCACUGCAUGCAGGUGCACAAGGAAGCAAUCGAUAAGGUGCCUAACUCGUUGCCAAAUCGGUCGAAUAUCGAAAUCGAAAUAUUUGGAAUGGACGGGAUUCCGCCGGAGGAGCUGCGGGAACAUGAGCGACAGAAGAACGGCGGACGUUCGGAUUCGGAGGAUGAUGAGCCCGCAACCAAGAAAGCGAAACCAGAAGUUCCUGCCACACAAGCUAACAUGAUGAUGCCAAACAUGAUGGCGCCACACAUGAUGGGUCAGUUUACAUCCAUGGGUCCAAUGAUGACACCAAUGGGUCCCAUGCCGCCAUAUAUGAAUGCUGCCGGGAUGCAACUCAUGCCGCCACAUAUGAUGGGUGCUCCGCCUCGGCCUUUGUUUCCGGCAGUGUCUACUAGUACAGUACCUUCUCAGGCAAAGCCAACUUUUCCCGCUUACAGUAAUGCUACGAUAAGUGCCCCUCCUACCACAAACAAUCCUGCUGCUGCAGGUGCUGCAGCAGCUACAAGCAAUGCAACAACCGACGGACAGAAAUCGUUAAUAACUACAAGCGGAACAACAUCAAAGAUUAUGCAUCCACCUGAGGAUCUAAGCUUAGAGGAGAUCAGAGCACGAAAACCUAAAUAUCAGCGAAAGGCGAUAAUAGCCACGUCCUCAUCGUCUUCAACAAUGCCAAUGACAUCGCGUGCUCCAAUCUGUUCGCAACCAAGCAACAAUCAUAUGCUUCACACUUCAUAUGCUCCCGUCACGUCUGUAGCCACAUCAACAGCAAUUUCACAAGCACAGGAGCAUGCAGCGGCAAUGGCUGCAGUAGUCCAAGCACAAGCUCAUGCUGCUCAGGCGGCUGCUGUUCAACAACAGCAACAACAAAAACAACUUGAUGAUCUUAAUCGCGCUGUCAUGUUGCAGCGACUGCAAGCGGCCAGACCUACAGGACCGCCACUUGGAAUGGUUCCAGUGGCGUCAUCGCCUAUGUCCCUAAUGCAACCAAUGAUGCGACCUGCUAUGGCUCUCGCACCACAUGGCGCCUUGUUAGGUGGCAAUAUGCUUCGGCACGGGCCGCCCGGCAUGGGAGGAAUGCCAGCAGCAGUGAAGUGACAACCGAAAUUCGAGCUAAAACUCGAGUUUUAUUCAAAAACCAUGUCUUCUGUGUCCGCCAGAUUUUAGACUAUUGUUGAAUUCAUUCCCCUAGAACAAAUUUAUAUUUUUAUUUCCAUGAAAUCUGACUGAAAGUUAACGAAAUAGAUACUAUCAAAUGCGGAUUAUAUAAUGUUUCCUAUUGACGGACUGCUUGCUGCACCUUUA